GACGAACGCUGGCGGCGUGCUUAACACAUGCAAGUCGAACGGAAAGGCCCUGCUUUUGUGGGGUGCUCGAGUGGCGAACGGGUGAGUAACACGUGAGUAACCUGCCCUUGACUUUGGGAUAACUUCAGGAAACUGGGGCUAAUACCGGAUAGGAGCUCCUGCUGCAUGGUGGGGGUUGGAAAGUUUCGGCGGUUGGGGAUGGACUCGCGGCUUAUCAGCUUGUUGGUGGGGUAGUGGCUUACCAAGGCUUUGACGGGUAGCCGGCCUGAGAGGGUGACCGGCCACAUUGCGACUGAGAGACGGCCCAGACUCCUACGGUAGGCAGCAGUGGGGAAUAUUGCACAAUGGGCGGAAGCCUGAUGCAGCAACGCCGCGUGCGGGAUGACGGCCUUCGGGUUGUAAACCGCUUUCGCCUGUGACGAAGCGUGAGUGACGGUAAUGGGUAAAGAAGCACCGGCUAACUACGUG
rnacentral:rRNA from 1 species